AAGCAUAACUUAAGUGGUACUUUUAAUACUGGCAUAUUUUUCAGGCCAAACAUUCUGUAUCUCAGGCAAACCCAGGCAUUUAUAGUACGCCUUUAAGCCUCCUUGGAAAUCAAGCGUCUGCCUGUGGUGAAACAUAGGUGUCAUUAUACUUUUUGGAUGGUUUUAAGGUUGUAUGAAUUUUUAUUUUGUAAUCAAUUCACCAAAGCCAUCGCUUAAUAUUUC
rnacentral:misc_RNA from 1 species